GAUUUGUCUCAAACAAUGGCACAAACAAUGGCACAAACAAUGGCACAAACAAUGGCACAAACAGUGGCACAAACAGUGGCACAAACAAUGGCACAAACAGUGGCACAAACAAUGGCACAAACAGUGGCACAAACAGCAACGACAACACCAUUUUCAUUUUGAACGAUUCGCAUUUAAAAUACAAUAACGUGUCAAUUAAAAAAAAAGAUAUAUUGAACAUGUUUUUAUUUUUGAAUAAAAAUAAUUUUAUCGAAUGUUGUAAUUAUUUGAAUAAGUUGUUGUUUAUGUUUGUAAAUCAAUACGGAGAGAAAGAAAUAAUAAGCAUUCUUGUGAACCAUAUGAAACAUAAUGGCACGGGUAGUACCAGUAGUACCAUUAGUACCAGUAGUACCAGUGGCACAUACAGUACAAACAGCAAGGACAACAUAAACAUUGGUAUAAACAGCGAUACAAAUGGUGGUAUAAACAGCGAUACAAAUGGUGGUAUAAACAGCGAUACAAAUGGUGGUAUAAAUGGCGAUACAAAUGGUGGUAUAAAUGGCGGUACAAAUGGUGGUACAAAUGGUGGUACAAACAACGAUGACCAGUGUCAGUACGAUUUACUUUUAAUAAAUAAAAUUUUAAACAUUUUUAUUUACAAAAAAAAAAACAUUUCAUUAAGUAAUAAUAUAAUAAUAUGUAAUAUUUUAGCAAAACACCAAUUAUUUUAUAACAACUUUUUUUGUAUAAAUAAAAAUAAUUUUAUGAACGAACUAAAAGAUGUACAUAUACAUUCGCUUGUUUCAUUAAUACAUUCAUUGGGAAAAUUAAAAAUAAAAAAUAUCGACAUCGAAUUUUAUAAGUUAAUAAUUCAAGAAAUUUUAAAAAAAAUUAAUAAAAUUAAUGAAUAUGGAUUAUCUUGCUUAUUAUAUGGUUUAAAUAAUUUAAUUGAUAAAAAAAAGGAGAGAGAGUUAGAAUUAGUAGAAGAUGGAGGAAAAGGAAAAAGUAUAUUCAAUUUUUUUAAUAAAAAUGAAAAUGGUACUAUACAUAAUAAUAUAAACCAAAAUUAUAACAAUACAUCCUCUAUUGUUAAUAACACUGACAGUAUAACUGACAGAACAAUUGA
rnacentral:lncRNA from 1 species